GCACGGGUGCGUAACGCGUAUAGAACCUACCUUUUACAGAGGAAUAGCCUUUAGAAAUGAAGAUUAAUGCCUCAUAGUAUUGUAGACUGGCAUCAGUUUAUAAUUAAAGAUUUAUCGGUAAAAGAUGGCUAUGCGUCCUAUUAGUUAGUUGGUAAGGUAACGGCUUACCAAGACAGCGAUAGGUAGGGGUCCUGAGAGGGAGAUCCCCCACACUGGUACUGAGACACGGACCAGACUCCUACGGGAGGCAGCAGUGAGGAAUAUUGGACAAUGGAGGAGACUCUGAUCCAGCCAUGCCGCGUGUAGGAAGAAUGCCCUAUGGGUUGUAAACUACUUUUAUACAGGAAGAAACACUGGUAUGUAUA
rnacentral:rRNA from 1 species